rnacentral:rRNA from 1 species
GAGUUUGAUCAUGGCUCAGGAUGAACGCUGGCGGCGUGCCUAAUACAUGCAAGUCGAGCGAACGGACGAGAAGCUUGCUUCUCUGAUGUUAGCGGCGGACCGGUGAGUAACACGUGGAUAACCUACCUAUAAGACGUGGGAUAACUUCGGGAAACCGGAGCUAAUACCGGAUAAUAUUUUGAACCGCAUGGUUCAAAAGUG